AGGGAGCUUGCUCCCCGGGUGACGAGCGGCGGACGGGUGAGUAAUGUCUGGGAAACUGCCUGAUGGAGGGGGAUAACUACUGGAAACGGUAGCUAAUACCGCAUAACGUCGCAAGACCAAAGAGGGGGACCUUCGGGCCUCUUGCCAUCAGAUGUGCCCAGAUGGGAUUAGCUAGUAGGUGGGGUAAUGGCUCACCUAGGCGACGAUCCCUAGCUGGUCUGAGAGGAUGACCAGCCACACUGGAACUGAGACACGGUCCAGACUCCUACGGGAGGCAGCAGUGGGGAAUAUUGCACAAUGGGCGCAAGCCUGAUGCAGCCAUGCCGCGUGUGUGAAGAAGGCCUUCGGGUUGUAAAGCACUUUCAGCGAGGAGGAAGGUGGUGAGCUUAAUACGCUCAUCAAUUGACGUUACUCGCAGAAGAAGCACCGGCUAACUCCGUGCCAGCAGCCGCGGUAAUACCGGAGGGUGCAAGCGUUAAUCGGAAUUACUGGGCGUAAAGCGCACGCAGGCGGUUUGUUAAGUCAGAUGUGAAAUCCCCGGGCUCAACCUGGGAACUGCAUUUGAAACUGGCAAGCUAGAGUCUCGUAGAGGGGGGUAGAAUUC
rnacentral:rRNA from 1 species